AGUCACUGACAUUAGAUACCCCCGUAGUCCCAGCCGUAAACUAUGCGCGUUAGGUGUACUGGUGACCACGAGUCACCGGGUGCCGAAGGGAAACCGUGAAACGUGCCGCCUGGGAAGUACGGUCGCAAGGCUGAAACUUAAAGGAAUUGGCGGGGGAGCACCGCAACGGGAGGAGCGUGCGGUUUAAUUGGAUUCAACACCGUAAAACUCACCAGGGAAGACUGUUACAUGAAGGCCGAGAUGAAGACUCCGCUAGAUUUUCAG
rnacentral:rRNA from 1 species